UCAUCAGGUAGGAUAACCCUUCCCUGUUCCUCUAUUCAGAGGGCAGAUAGAACAUGAUGAUUGGAGUUCAUGUGAUUGAUGAUUAACAUCUCUGCGUGAUUAGGGCUGGCGAUACCCUGAUGGCUCCUAUCUGAU
rnacentral:snoRNA from 1 species